UUUUCCACUGCAUGCAUCUGAUGAAGUGGGCUUUAGCCCACGAAAGCUUAUGCCCAAAUAAAUUUGUUUGUCUCUGAGAUGCCACAAGUAUGCCUCAUAAUUUUUUGAAAAAGAUUAAAGGACUAGAA